GACGAACGCUGGCGGCGUGCUUAACACAUGCAAGUCGAACGGAAAGGCCCUGCUUGCAGGGUACUCGAGUGGCGAACGGGUGAGUAACACGUGGGUGAUCUGCCCUGCACUUCGGGAUAAGCCUGGGAAACGGGGUCUAAUACCGGAUAGGAGCCAUUUUUAGUGUGAUGGUUGGAAAGUUUUUUCGGUGUAGGAUGAGCUCGCGGCCUAUCAGCUUGUUGGUGGGGUAAUGGCCUACCAAGGCGGCGACGGGUAGCCGGCCUGAGAGGGUGGACGGCCACAUUGGGACUGAGAUACGGCCCAGACUCCUACGGGAGGCAGCAGUGGGGAAUAUUGCACCAUGGGCGCCAGCCUGAUGCAGCGACGCCGCGUGGGGGAUGACGGCCUUCGGGUUGUAAACUCCUUUCGCUAGGGACGAAGCUUUUUGUGACGGUACCUAGAUAAGAAGCACCGGCUAACUACGUG
rnacentral:rRNA from 1 species